AUAAGAUUUGUAGGGAAACAAGCCUUGUAACACUUACAAGGUUUGAGGGUCUCUGCUAGAAUCAUGUGGACCCCAGUGUAACAAAUCUAUGGAAAGAGAGAAAAUCUCAGCUCAAGGGUCAACAUGUCUUUAUUCCAAGAAAGAGUGUACAUAUGCCAGAAUCAUAUGGACCGCAGACUGGCCCUGGUGAUUCCGUUAAGAAAAAAGAGGAAAAAUCAGUGCUUGUGCUCAUUGGUCAUUGGACAAAGGGUGUAUGCCAGAAUUUUUUCAAGAACAGUCUGAAUCUGACAUGAAAAAAAUUAAGAAAAACAGCCUUCCUGUUUAUAAAUCUACAUUCUGACAAAGGAUCAUUUUCUUGAGAUAGGUGGAACCAACAGUCAAAUACAGACACUUCUAAGAAAAGUAAAAAUCUGGCUCAGGUAAGAAAGAAAUUCAGGAGUUCUUAAAUUGCCCUUGGAGUUCUUGGAUUGCAUCAAACUGCUAAAAGACCUCAACAAAAACAGCGUCUUGAAAAUAAAAAUGAAAAUAUUCAGUGAAAAAAAAAAAUGAUGAAAGAGCCACUAAAAAUCUUCAAGCCUUUGAGCUGAAAUCUGGAAGUCAAUCUGUGGACUUUACUAGUAAGUCAUAAUUACUAAGUCAUCAUUUGUGUAUCAUAAAUACACUAAACUGUAAACACUUGUUAAAAUGUGUAUAAUUUUUAGAUAUAAUUUGUAUCUCAUAGACUUCAAUAGUUUCAUGUAAUUUAAGUAAUAAUGAAAAUUUCCUGUUGUCUAGCUAGAUUAGAAACUAUUAUUGUCCAAUUUUGGAUAUUGUGAAAUAAUUCAUCUAGUAUGCAUACAUGUGUGUACACUUACGUGUAAAUUAAUUGUUAUAGCAAAUUCAAUCGAUCAUUAAGUUGAAUGUUGACUAAUGUUUUUCAUCAAAAUUGUUUACACUGAAUUGUUUGUGGAUUUUUCCAUUUGCCCAAUCAUGUCAAGGAGCACAUGGCAGGAAAUGCUUUCUCCUCCAUUGCACCUGGUUUUUUUAGAGUCUGUUUGCUCUGCUCUAAUUAUGUAUUGUUUCAAUGGACUUUAAAGCUUGAUCACUGUUGGUAAUCUUCAUAUUUCAUAUACUAUUAGAGUACUUGAAGAAAACUGUAAAGAUUUAACAUACAGUAUAAUGCAUGUAUAUUGCACUUUAAGUACAGUGUAUGUGGUUAAGAAAUGUUAAAUCGUCUCAUAGUGCAUUGAAUUUGUUGAAAAUUAGAAAAUGUGUUGAAAUUUUUUUUUGAAAUAAUGUUAGAUUGCAGAUUUUUUUAAAUCAUGCAAGUAAGAAAUUGUUAAAUAUUUUUUAGAUUUUCUGGACAGUCUAGAUGAGUUCUCACUAUAUACCUAGCAUUGUCAUCCCAGUUAAAAUUUAAGGAGCAAGGUUCAUUCCUAAGCUCUACCUGGACAAACUUGCAUGGAUUAAAGCACAUUAACAGAUUUACUUCAGAUGCUUGACCUGAUCUACAUUUUCCUCAUGUGUUUUUUUUGUUUUUGUUUGUUUGUUGUUUAACAUCCCUCUCAAGAAUUUUUCAUCCAUAUGGAGAUGCCACUACUUGCUGGUGGAGAGCUGCAAAAUUUGACCUAUACUUUGCACUCAGGGCCUUGAGCAGUAAGGGAUCUUUUUUGUGCCCACAUCAACUGCUAGGCGGGACCUCGGUUUAUAUGGUCUAAUCUGAAGGACUGGUCCCCACAUCCCCAGUGGAUUUGAACCUGAGACUUAAGGAUUAAAUCCUUACUCGCGACUCUAGAUUACAAACUCUAUCCUUUGCGCCACAUGGGGGACUCCACAAGAUUAAGUGUUUUGAGCAGUCCUAUUCUCAUGUAAUUAUAAACUCUAUGUUGAACAAACCUGCAAAGAUGAUGUAUGUACAUGUAAAUGUUUCAGGGUACCAAUCCUUGAUUUGACUUAGAUAUUCUGGAUUAAUGACCAGUUUUUUAGAGAAGGUUCAUUCAAAGUAACAAUAUACUCUUUGGUGAUCAGUAAACAUAGAUGAUGUAUCCUGCUUCUGAUGCUGGAUGUAACAUACAUUUUCAGGGUUAUUGAGCAGUUAAAUCUAACCCAGACCAACUUGCAUAGAUUUUGGAUCCAGGUGAUAUACAUUACCAGAGUGUUUGUUAAGUGAGACUUUGCCUUACUAGUAGAUAACAUUUAUAGAAGUGAGCUUUGUAUUCUUUGAUUAGGUAUGUUUUUUCUUUGCUCAGGAUAUAUACAGACCUGCCUACCCUUCCGCUUUUGGCGUAAUUUUUCCGCUUUUUACCACAAAAUUACUCUGUUACGCCAUGAAAACUAAUUUUACGCUUUUUAAAUAUUUUUUCAUAAACAACUUAAUGAAAGGCUAACUUUGGAGUUAAAGUAAAGGCUUUCCUUAAUGAAAACGAGAAGGUAAUUAAUACUAAUUAAUGGAGGGUUUCGGUUCUUCACGAUAUGAUUAUUUAUGAUACAAACAACAUACGUAAUACACGUUGUAGUUAUGCCUUUUAAACGGGUUGCAUGCCAAAAUUAAGGAAACAAAACUUUUGAAUGAUGUGUGCAAUAAGUAAAGUCAGUUUAAUUUUCAAUUCGGUUUAUUCUUACAUUGCUAAGAACAACAUAGAGACAAGUAAAUGUAAGAAAAACAAAAUCGAAAUAGCGGAAUAAUGUAGAAUUUGUAUUAAUAUGCGAUUGAAACUCUGAAUUAUGUGAUUUGCUAAUUUUUUUCCAAACGUUCAUUAGGAAUGUUAGAUAAAUAAGUUUGAUUUGACUGCAAUUACGAUACCAGUUUUUACAACAAAGGGACUUUUUGUCUAUAAAUGAUUUGAAAAAGAAACAUUCAUGCUUGCUUUGUUCAAUGAUGUACAAUUUCAGGUUGAUUCAGACAAUAUAGUAGCUUUGCAAAACAUCAAAGUAGGGAAACAUAAAGGAUUACGCCUUUACCUCAUAAAUUCCACUUAAUUGAGUCUUGAAAUUACACCCUCGCAAUGAAAAGGGUAGACAGGUCUGUAUAUAUACCAUCAGUGCCAACUACCAUACAUUUUAUAUAAUAGAUGUAGCUGUUGUUCAACUGAAUAUGAUAAAACUGUGGAUGAAAAUAAUUUGAUUUUUGUACCUUUGAAUGUAUUGAAUUAAUUUGUAAAAGCUGUUAUGAUACAAUGUUUGAUAUUUUAUAAAAGGUUUUAGCAUAUGCAAUCAAUAAAUGUAUCAACAUUUUUA